rnacentral:snoRNA from 1 species
UGCCGUGAAGAGUAAGCUAGCCUGAUACGUGAUGAGGGGCCAAAGCUCGGAGC